rnacentral:rRNA from 1 species
GUGGGGAAUCUUCCGCAAUGGACGAAAGUCUGACGGAGCAACGCCGCGUGAGUGAAGAAGGUUUUCGGAUCGUAAAGCUCUUUCGUUAGGGACGAACGUGCUCUUUGUGAAUAAUGAGGAGUAAUGACGGUACCUAAAUAAGAAGCCACGGCUAACUACGUGCCAGCAGCCGUGGUAAUACGUAGGUGGCAAGCGUUGUCCGGAAUUAUUGGGCGUAAAGCGCGCGCAGGCGGGAUAUCAAGUCUGUCUUAAAAGUGCGAGGCUCAACCUCGUGAGGGGACAGAAACUGGUAUUCUUGAGUGUCGGAGAGGAAAGUGGAAUUCCAAGUGUAGCGGUGAAAUGCGUAGAGAUUUGGAAGAACACCAGUGGCGAAGGCGACUUUCUGGACGAUGUCUGACGCUGAGGCGCGAAAGCUAGGGGAGCGAACGGGAUUAGAUACCCUAGUAGUCC